CCCAUGCUCUCUCUCUCUCUCAAAAUAAAUACCUAAACUUAAAAAAAAAAGAUUUUUUUUCCAACUAUACAUAAUGUAAAUAAUGCAUCUUGUGAAGUCAAAUCUAUUUCAACACCAAAAGUCCAGUUACAAUAUAACCAUGGUUGACUCAUGGGCUCACUAAAGCAAAGUCACUCACUAAUACCCUGUUUUUGAGCAUUCUUCCUCAUGGCCAGUUUGGCUGCUAUAGGUCACAUUAUUCCCUAACAGGCUUCAUCUUGGAUAGCACAUGGCAUACUGAAUGACAUUACAAGGAGCACCUUGCCUUGUCUAUGAGAACAAAAAAAGGGAAAUUUUGGAUACAUCAUGCUAAAUACAAGGCAGAGAUUGGGGUGAUGCUCCUACAAACCAAAGAAUGCCAAAGAUUGCCAGCAAGCCAUUAAAAGCUAGGAAAUGCAGUACAAACCAGUGUGCACCUAGCUGUCAAUAAUAACCCCUACACCUGGCUCAAGCAUCUGUUUUGCUGGCCUCCCACCUCAAGAAAGCUGCCAGAAAGCUUAUCAGAAAAUGUGGCUCCAUGGAGUCUUCAACUCAAGUAACAGCUCUGCUUAGAAGGUAAGAGAAGUCCCUCAGUCCAAUAGCUCCUGUGCCCAAGUGUCAGCAAGGAUGGAAAGAAGUUGGAACCCUUGUACACUACUGGCAAGAAUGUAAAAUGGUGCCACCAUUAAGGAAAACAUUAUGAAGAUUCCUCAAAAAAAUUAAAAUAGAACUAUGAUAUGAUCCAGCAAUCCCACUUCUGGGUAUAUAUCUAAAAGAAUUUAAAGCAAAUCUCAAAGCAAUAUCUGUACACUCAUGUUUAACGCAGCAUUAUUCACAAUAGCCAAUAGGGGGAAACAACCCAAAUGCUCAUCAACAGCUGAAAAUAUAAAGGGAAUGUGGUAUAUACAUAUAAGGGAAUAAAAGAGAAUUAAAAGAGAAGGAAAUCCCGUCACAUCCUACAACAUUAAUGAGCCUCAAGGACAUUAUGCUGACUGAAAUAAGCCAGUCACAAAAGGGCAAGUAUUAUAUGAUUUUCAUUCAUACGAAGAACUCAAAAUCAUAGAAACAGAAAAUAGUUGGUUGCCAACGGGUGCUGGUGGUGAGGGAAGAUUAGUGUAUAGUGAGUACAGAAUUCCAGUUUUGCAAGAUGAAAAAGUUCUAGAGAUCUACUGCACAAUAAUGUGAAAAUACAUAACACAACUGAAUUGUACACUUUAAAAUAGUUAAGAUGAUAAACUUAACCACAUUUUUGCACCAUUGGUGGGAAGGUAAACUGGUGCAGCCAGUCUGGAAAACAGUGUGGAGGCUCCUCAAAAAAUUAAAAAUAGAACUACCUUAUGA